GAUGAACGCUGGCGGCGUGCCUAAUACAUGCAAGUCGAGCGAACGGACGAGAAGCUUGCUUCUCUGAUGUUAGCGGCGGACGGGUGAGUAACACGUGGAUAACCUACCUAUAAGACUGGGAUAACUUCGGGAAACCGUAGCUAAUACCGGAUAAUAUUUUGAACCGCAUGGUUCAAAAGUGAAAGACGGUCUUGCUGUCACUUAUAGAUGGAUCCGCGCUGCAUUAGCUAGUUGGUAAGGUAACGGCUUACCAAGGCAACGAUGCAUAGCCGACCUGAGAGGGUGAUCGGCCACCCUGGAACUGAGACACGGUCCAGACUCCUACGGGAGGCAGCAGUAGGGAAUCUUCCGCAAUGGGCGAAAGCCUGACGGAGCAACGCCGCGUGAGUGAUGAAGGUCUUCGGAUCGUAAAACUCUGUUAUUAGGGAAGAACAUAUGUGUAAGUAACUGUGCACAGCUUGACGGUACCUAAUCAGAAAGCCACGGCUAACUACGUG
rnacentral:rRNA from 1 species